rnacentral:rRNA from 1 species
UACGGAGGGAGCUAGCGUUGUUCGGAAAUACUGGGCGUAAAGCGCACGUAGGCGGCGCAGCAAGUCAGGGGUGAAAUCCCGGGGCUCAACCCCGGAACUGCCCUUGAAACUGCAGUGCUAGAAUCUUGGAGAGGCGAGUGGAAUUCCGAGUGUAGAGGUGAAAUUCGUAGAUAUUCGGAAGAACACCAGUGGCGAAGGCGACUCGCUGGACAAGUAUUGACGCUGAGGUGCGAAAGCGUGGGGAGCAAACAGGAUUAGAAACCCGUGUAGUCC